rnacentral:ncRNA from 1 species
UUUUUUAUUGGCCAAAUCCAUCGUGAGGUGGAGACGGAAAGCCUACGGGUCUCUUUGUUGAGAUGGCCGGGUUGCCGAU